GAUGAACGCUGGCGGCGUGCCUAAUACAUGCAAGUCGAGCGAACAGACGAGGAGCUUGCUCCUCUGACGUUAGCGGCGGACGGGUGAGUAACACGUGGAUAACCUACCUAUAAGACUGGGAUAACUUCGGGAAACCGGAGCUAAUACCGGAUAAUAUAUUGAACCGCAUGGUUCAAUAGUGAAAGACGGUUUUGCUGUCACUUAUAGAUGGAUCCGCGCCGCAUUAGCUAGUUGGUAAGGUAACGGCUUACCAAGGCAACGAUGCGUAGCCGACCUGAGAGGGUGAUCGGCCGCACUGGAACUGAGGCACGGUCCAGACUCCUACGGGAGGCAGCAGUAGGGAAUCUUCCGCAAUGGGCGAAAGCCUGACGGAGCAACGCCGCGUGAGUGAUGAAGGUCUUCGGAUCGUAAAACUCUGUUAUUAGGGAAGAACAAAUGUGUAAGUAACUAUGCACGUCUUGACGGUACCUAAUCAGAAAGCCACGGCUAACUACGUG
rnacentral:rRNA from 1 species